UUUGUACGUCGAAUUUUGGUCGCGUCGAAUGCAAUUAUGACAAUAGAUAAUGAGAUGGUGGAGCUUCAUUAUCUAUUGUUUGAAUUGCAUUCGACGCGACCGAAAUUCGACGUAUAAA